rnacentral:rRNA from 1 species
GAUGAACGCUGGCGGCGUGCCUAAUACAUGCAAGUCGAGCGAACAGAUGAGGAGCUUGCUCCUCUGACGUUAGCGGCGGACGGGUGAGUAACACGUGGAUAACCUACCUAUAAGACUGGGAUCACUUCGGGACACCGGCGCUAAUACCGUAUAAUAUAUUGCACCGCAUGGUUCAAUAGUGAAAGACGGUUUUGCUGUCACUUAUAGAUGGAUCCGCGCCGCAUUAGCUAGUUGGUAAGGUAACGGCUUACCAAGGCAACGAUGCGUAGCCGACCUGAGAGAGUGUUCGCCCACACGGGAGCGUAACCACGGUCCAGACUCCUGCGGGAGGCAGCAGUAGGGUAUCGUCCGCAAUAGGCGAAAGCCUGACGGAACAACGCCGCGUGAGAGAUGAAGGUCUUCGGAUCGUAAAACUCUGUUAUGAGGGAAGAACAAAUGUGUAAGUAACUAUGCACGUCUUGACGGUACCUAAUCAGAAAGCCACGGCUAACUACGUG